rnacentral:rRNA from 1 species
AGUUUGAUCCUGGCUCAGGAUGAACGCUGGCGGCGUGCCUUAGGCAUGCAAGUCGAACGGGUUGUUUUUCUAGCUUGCUAGAAAAACGCUAGUGGCAAACGGGUGAGUAACGCGUAGGAAUCUACCUCUUGGUGGGGGAUAGUCGGCCGAAAGGCCGUUUAAUCCCGCAUACGUCCGCAAGGAGAAAGACACUUGUGUCGCCGAGAGAGGAGCCUGCGUCCUAUCAGCUUGUUGGUGAGGUAAUGGCUCACCAAGGCUAUGACGGGUAGCUGGACUGAGAGGUCGAACAGCCACAAUGGGACUGAGACACGGCCCAUACACCUACGGGUGGCAGCAACCGGGAAUCUUCCGCAAUGGACGAAAGUCUGACGGAGCGACGCCGCGUGGGGGAUGAAGGUCUUUGGAUUGUAAACCCCUUUCGCCGAUUCAUAUGAAUUGGAAAAGAAGCACCUGCUAACUACGUGCCAGAAGCCUCGGUAAUACGUAGGGUGCGAGCGUUAUCCGGAAUUAUUGGGCGUAAAGCGUGCCGUAGGCGGAUUUUUAAGUCGAUUGUGAAAUCCUACAGCUCAACUGUAGAAUUGCAGUCGAUACUGGAAGUCUAGAAUCUCAUAGGGGAGGCUGGAACUGUUGGUGUAGCAGUGAAAUGCGUUGAGAUCAACAGGAACACCGAGGGCGAA